UAGUGUGUUUUUGCCAUCCCAGGACGUGGACCUUCUGAACCCAGUUUGAGUCUGCCCUCAGCAACACGCGGGUCGCAGCAGCGGCAUCUGGAAGGCCUGGAAGGUGCGGCAGUGCUUUUCCAUGGCUGAGGAGCAGAGGGCCUGGUGCCGUGUUCUGCCGAGAGUCCCUGGUACCUUCCUCUUCCUGGUGUUCUUCCCCACAAUGGCCAAGGUGACGGGCCCAUCAUACAAUGCUUUGAUGGUACUCUGCUCUUUGAACUGCAUGAGUUUCUGUCAAGAAUGGAAGGCCAAUGUCAGGUUUCUCUUGGCUGGACCGCACUGCCCUCUCUCCGGCCGACCCUAUGGAUUGCCACAGGCAGGAGCGGACAGGAGUGAGGGGCGCUACUAUAGUCAGAAAUGAAGGUCUUUGGGGCCAGUCCCUGCAGUAACCUGUGCUUUAGAGUCCCCUCCUCCGUUGAAGUCACUGUCUUCUGUGACUUUAUCAGUUAUUUUGGCCAGUUAUCUUUUCAGUAGGUAACUUUUGGUGUAUUACUGGUUCAUACAAGAAAAUUAUUAUUUGGGGGCACCUGGGUGGCUCA